CCCUCCCGUAGAAAAUCUCAAAUGGAAUUUUCCAUGUUUCCAUAUUUCAGGUUUUGCAGGUUUGGAUCUUAUCCAGCCUAAAGCACGCACAAUAACUUCGUUGAGGGUUUGUCGAAACAAGGAGCAAUUAAAAAUGACGAAGCCAUAUCCAUUCUCAGCGCGCUG